GACGAACGCUGGCGGCGUGCUUAACACAUGCAAGUCGAACGGAAAGGCCCUGCUUUUGUGGGGUGCUCGAGUGGCGAACGGGUGAGUAACACGUGAGUAGCCUGCCCUUGACUUUGGGAUAACUUCAGGAAACUGGGGCUAAUACCGGAUAGGAGCUCCUGCUGCAUGGUGGGGGUUGGAAAGUUUCGGCGGUUGGGGAUGGACUCGCGGCUUAUCAGCUUGUUGGUGGGGUAGUGGCUUACCAAGGCUUUGACGGGUAGCCGGCCUGAGAGGGUGACCGGCCACAUUGGGACUGAGAUACGGCCCAGACUCCUACGGGAGGCAGCAGUGGGGAAUAUUGCACAAUGGGCGGAAGCCUGAUGCAGCAACGCCGCGUGCGGGAUGACGGCCUUCGGGUGGUAAACCGCUUUCGCCUGUGACGAAGCGUGAGUGACGGUAAUGGGUAAAGAAGCACCGGCUAACUACGG
rnacentral:rRNA from 1 species